GUGGGGAUAGCUCAGUGGUAGAGUGUCUGCUUGGCAUGCAUGAGGUCCCAGGUUCAAUUCCCAGCACCUCCA
rnacentral:tRNA from 1 species